GCCGAAGUGCUGGAACGGUAGACAGUCCAGUCUCAAAAACUGGUGAGCGUAACAGCUCGUGUGGGUUCGAAUCCCACCUUCGGCA
rnacentral:tRNA from 1 species